CCGAGUUUACAACUCCCAAACCCCUGUGAACAUACCACUUGUUGCCUCGGCGGAUCAGCCGCUCCCGGUAAAACGGGACGGCCCGCCAGAGGACCCUAAACUCUGUUUCUAUAUGUAACUUCUGAGUAAAACCAUAAAUAAAUCA
rnacentral:misc_RNA from 1 species